CCCGGGAAGUCCUCGUGUUGC
rnacentral:siRNA from 1 species